AUUGAACGCUGGCGGCAGGCCUAACACAUGCAAGUCGAACGAGUGGCGGACGGGUGAGUAAUGUCUGGGAAACUGACUGAUGGAGGGGGAUAACUACUGGAAACGGUAGCUAAUACCGCAUACCAUCGGAUGUGCCCAAAUGGGAUUAGCUAGUAGGUGGGGGAAAGGCUCACCUAGGCGACGAUCCCUAGAUGGUCUGAGCGGAUGACCAGACACACUGGAAUGUGUACCCUGUCCUGACUCCUAUGGGAGGCAGCAGUGGGGAAUAGGGCCCAAUGGGUGCAAUCCUGAUGCAGCCAGGGCGCGUGUAUGAAGAAGGCCUUCGGGUUGUAAAGUACGUUCAGCGGGGAGGCGUUACCCGCAGAAGAAGCACCGGCUAACUCCGUGCCAGCAGCCGCGGUAAUUC
rnacentral:rRNA from 1 species